CAACUUUCAGUGAUGGAUAUCUUGGCUCGAGCACCUGUGAAGGGCGCAGCGAAGCGCGAUAGUCUUUGUGAAUUGCAGAACUCCGUGAACCAAUGGCCUCCUGAACGUACGUUGCGCUCUCGGGAUUUCCUGAGAGUAUGCCUGCUUCAGUG
rnacentral:rRNA from 1 species